rnacentral:rRNA from 1 species
GAUGAACGCUGGCGGCGUGCCUAAUACAUGCAAGUCGAGCGAACAGACGAGGAGCUUGCUCCUUCGACGUUAGCGGCGGACGGGUGAGUAACACGUAGGUAACCUACCUAUAAGACUGGGAUAACUUCGGGAAACCGGAGCUAAUACCGGAUAAUAUUUCGAACCGCAUGGUUCGAUAGUGAAAGAUGGCUUUGCUAUCACUUAUAGAUGGACCUGCGCCGUAUUAGCUAGUUGGUAAGGUAACGGCUUACCAAGGCAACGACACGUAGCCGACCUGAGAGGGUGAUCGGCCACACUGGAACUGAGACACGGUCCAGACUCCUACGGGAGGCAGCAGUAGGGAAUCUUCCGCAGUGGGCGAAAGCCUGACGGAGCAACGCCGCGUGAGUGAUGAAGGUCUUCGGAUCGUAAAACUCUGUUAUUAGGGAAGAACAAACGUGUAAGUAACUGUGCACGUCUUGACGGUACCUAAUCAGAAAGCCACGGCUAACUACGUG